rnacentral:rRNA from 1 species
CUACGGGGUGCACCAGUGGGGAAUAUUGCACAAUGGAGGAAACUCUGAUGCAGCAACGCCGCGUGGAGGAUGACACUUUUCGGAGCGUAAACUCCUUUUAUAUAGGAAGAAGAUGACGGUACUAUAUGAAUAAGCGCCGGCUAACUCCGUGCCAGCAGCCGCGGUAAUACGGAGGGCGCAAGCGUUACUCGGAAUCACUGGGCGUAAAGAGCGUGUAGGCGGAUUAAAAAGUCAGAAGUGAAAUCCUAUAGCUUAACUAUAGAACUGCUUCUGAAAGUCUUAAUCUAGAAUAUGGGAGAGGUAGAUGGAAUUUCUGGUGUAGGGGUAAAAUCCGUAGAGAUCAGAAGGAAUACCGAUUGCGAAGGCGAUCUACUAGAACAUUAUUGACGCUGAGACGCGAAAGCGUGGGGAGCAAACAGGAUUAGAUACCCUCGUAGUC